UUCUAGAGCUAAUACACGCAACAAACUCCGACCUUGCGGGAGGAGUGCAUUUAUUAGAACAAAACCAAUGGGGCCUCGGCCCGUAUUUGGUGACUCUGAAUAACUGAGCUGAUCGCACGGUCACGUACCGGCGACGCAUCUUUCAAGUGUCUGCCUUAUCAACUGUUGAUGGUAGUUUAUGUGACUACCAUGGUUGUAACGGGUAACGGAGAAUAAGGGUUCGACUCCGGAGAGGGAGCCUGAGAAACGGCUACCACAUCUAAGGAAGGCAGCAGGCGCGCAAAUUACCCAAUCUCGGCGCGAGGAGGUAGUGACGAAAAAUAACGAGACGGUUCUCAUUGAGGCCCGUUAUCGGAAUGAGUACAAUCCAAACCCUUUAACGAGGAUCUAUCAGAGGGCAAGUCUGGUGCCAGCAGCCGCGGUAAUUCCAGCUCUGAAGGUGUAUACCACCGUUGUUGCGGUUAAAACGCUCGUAGUUGGAUCUACGUUUGUGGUGCUGGUCCUCUCGCAAGAGAGGCACUGGUUACCCGAACUGAAACAGCUGGUUUUCCCUUGGUACCCUUCACCGGGCGCCUUGGGUGGCUAGCAAUUUUACUUUGAAAAAAUUAGAGUGCUCAAAACAGGCGCAUGCCUGAAUAGUGGUGCAUGGAAUAAUGGAAUAGGAUCUUGGUCCUAUUUUGUUGGUUUUCGGGAGCCAAGAUAAUGAUUAAGAGGGACAGACGGGGGCAUUCGUAUUGCAGCGUUAGAGGUGAAAUUCUUGGAUCGUUGCAAGACGAACAACUGCGAAAGCAUU
rnacentral:rRNA from 1 species